rnacentral:rRNA from 1 species
UACGUAGGGUGCAAGCGUUGUCCGGAAUUAUUGGGCGUAAAGAGCUCGUAGGCGGCUUGUCGCGUCGAAUGUGAAAACUCGGGGCUCAACUCCGAGCUUGCAUUCGAUACGGGCAGGCUAGAGUUCGGUAGGGGAGACUGGAAUUCCUGGUGUAGCGGUGAAAUGCGUAGAUAUCGAGAGGAACACCUGCGGCGAAGGCGGGUUGCUGGGCUGACACUGACGCUGAUGUGCGAAAGCUGGGGGAGCGAACGGG